rnacentral:rRNA from 1 species
CACGGGUGAGUAACACGUAUCCAACCUGCCGUCUACUCUUGGACAGCCUUCUGAAAGGAAGAUUAAUACAAGAUGGCAUCAUGAGUCCGCAUGUUCACAUGAUUAAAGGUAUUCCGGUAGACGAUGGGGAUGCGUUCCAUUAGAUAGUAGGCGGGGUAACGGCCCACCUAGUCUUCGAUGGAUAGGGGUUCUGAGAGGAAGGUCCCCCACAUUGGACUGAGACACGGCCAA